UACGUAGGGUGCAAGCGUUUGUCCGGAAUUAUUAGGCGUAAAGAGCUCGUAGGCGGCUUGUCGCGUCUGUUGUGAAAGCCCGGGGCUUAACCCCGGGUCUGCAGUGGAUACGGGCAGGCUAGAGGCAGGUAGGGGAGAACGGAAUUCCCGGUGUAGCGGUGAAAUGCGUAGAGAUCAGGAAGAACAUCGGUGGCGAAGGCGCUCUGCUGGACCAUAACUGACACUCAGGGACGAAAGCUAGGGGAGCGAACAGG
rnacentral:rRNA from 1 species